rnacentral:rRNA from 1 species
AGAGUUUGAUCCUGGCUCAGGAUGAACGCUAGCGACAGGCUUAACACAUGCAAGUCGAGGGGCAGCGGGGGUGAUGGCUUGCCAUCACCUGCCGGCGACCGGCGCACGGGUGAGUAACACGUAUGCAACCUGCCCGCCACAGGGGGAUAAGCGGAAGAAAUUCCGUCUAAUACCGCGUGACGCGGCGUCGGGGCAUCCCGGUGCCGCCAAAGGGAUUACCGGUGGCGGAUGGGCAUGCGGCGCAUUAGCUAGUCGGCGGGGUAACGGCCCACCGAGGCGACGAUGCGUAGGGGUUCUGAGAGGAAGGUCCCCCACACUGGUACUGAGACACGGACCAGACUCCUACGGGAGGCAGCAGUGAGGAAUAUUGGUCAAUGGGCGGGAGCCUGAACCAGCCAAGUCGCGUGAGGGAUGACGGUCCUACGGAUUGUAAACCUCUUUUGCCGGGGAGCAAGCGUGCGUUCGUGAACGCGCGUCGAGAGUACCCGGAGAAAAAGCAUCGGCUAACUCCGUGCCAGCAGCCGCGGUAAUACGGAGGAUGCGAGCGUUAUCCGGAUUUAUUGGGUUUAAAGGGUGCGUAGGCGGGAUGCCAAGUCAGCGGUAAAAAUGCGGUGCUCAACGCCGUCGAGCCGUUGAAACUGGCGUUCUUGAGUGGGCGAGAAGUAUGCGGAAUGCGUGGUGUAGCGGUGAAAUGCAUAGAUAUCACGCAGAACUCCGAUUGCGAAGGCAGCAUACCGGCGCCCUACUGACGCUGAGGCACGAAAGCGUGGGUAUCGAACAGGAUUAGAUACCCUGGUAGUCCACGCAGUAAACGAUGAAUGCUAACUGUCCGGUGCGAGUGAGCGCUGGGCGGUACAGCGAAAGCGUUAAGCAUUCCACCUGGGGAGUACGCCGGCAACGGUGAAACUCAAAGGAAUUGACGGGGGCCCGCACAAGCGGAGGAACAUGUGGUUUAAUUCGAUGAUACGCGAGGAACCUUACCCGGGCUCAAACGCAGGAUGACGGGUCCCGAAAGGGGCCUUUCUUCGGACAUUCUGCGAGGUGCUGCAUGGUUGUCGUCAGCUCGUGCCGUGAGGUGUCGGCUUAAGUGCCAUAACGAGCGCAACCCCUGUCCACAGUUGCCAGCAGGUAAAGCUGGGGACUCUGUGGAGACUGCCGGCGCAAGCUGCGAGGAAGGCGGGGAUGACGUCAAAUCAGCACGGCCCUUACGUCCGGGGCGACACACGUGUUACAAUGGCAGGUACAGCGGGAUGCCACGGGGCGACCCGGCGCUGAACCCGAAAACCUGUCUCAGUUCGGAUUGGAGUCUGCAACCCGACUCCAUGAAGCUGGAUUCGCUAGUAAUCGCGCAUCAGCCACGGCGCGGUGAAUACGUUCCCGGGCCUUGCACACACCGCCCGUCA